rnacentral:rRNA from 1 species
CCAGACUCCUACGGGAGGCAGCAGUGAGGAAUAUUGGUCAAUGGUCGGGAGACUGAACCAGCCAAGCCGCGUGAGGGAGGAAGGUACAGAGUAUCGUAAACCUCUUUUGUCAGGGAACAAAGACUGGGACGCGUCCCCGGAUGAGUGUACCUGAAGAAAAAGCAUCGGCUAACUCCGUGCCAGCAGCCGCGGUAAUACGGAGGAUGCGAGCGUUAUCCGGAUUUAUUGGGUUUAAAGGGUGCGCAGACGGUUAAUUAAGGCAGAGGGAAAAGCCCGGGGCCCACCCCCGGGACCGCCGUUGAAACUGGCAGUCUCGAGUUGGAGAGAAGUAUGCGGAAUGCGCGGUGUAGCGGUGAAAUGCAUAGAUAUCGCGCAGAACUCCGAUUGCGAAGGCAGCAUGCCGGCUCCACACUGACGCUGAGGCACGAAAGCGUGGGUAUCGAACAGGAUUAGAUACCCUUGUA